AACGAACGCUGGCGGCAGGCUUAACACAUGCAAGUCGAACGCAUCCUUCGGGGUGAGUGGCAGACGGGUGCGUAACGCGUGGGAACGUGCCCUUCAGUUCGGGAUAACCCAGGGAAACUUGGGCUAAUACCGGAUUCGUGCGGGAGCAGUAAGAUUUAUCGCUGAAGGAUCGGCCCGCGUCUGAUUAGCUAGUUGGUGGGGUAGUGGGCCCCCAAGGCGACGAUCAGGAGCUGGUCUGAGAGAAUGAUCAGCCACAUUGGGACUGAGACACGGCCCAAACUCCUACGGGAGGCAGCAGUGGGGAAUAUUGAACAAUGGGCGCAAGCCUGAUCCAGCCAUGCCGCGUGAGUGAUGAAGGCCUUAGGGUUGUAAAGCUCUUUCGUCCGGGACGAUAAUGACGGUACCGGAAGAAGAAGCCCCGGCUAACUUCGUGCCAGCCGCCGCGGUAA
rnacentral:rRNA from 1 species